CUUCAUUCUCUGCCACAAACAACAUGUGAAUCAAUCCCUGAAACAGGUUUUCACAAAAAAGUAAUUUUUAGAGAGAAAUGCCUUUGAAUAAGAGAAAUCACCACCACAGGUUUCCAGCCUUGCUGGGUUCCCCUGUUCACAUGAACCUUGAUGCCCACUGUCUACUGGUGCUGGUGAACCAGCACACAGCACACCUGGCCUCAUGGAGCUGGUAUUCCAGGUGCAAGACCAACAACAAACACGUAAGAACUGUCAUGUAAUGUUAUGUUGUGCCAAGUGCUGGUGAAGACAAUGAAGCAUAUCAUGGGGCAGUGGAUUAUGGGAGGACCAAGAAUAGGGGAGGGUGAAAUACUUAGAGUUGUUCAGGAAACGCCUGUCAGUUCCAGGUUAUAAAUUAAGUAUGUAGGCUGACCCUUUUUGCAUAGCCAAAAUCUUGGCAUUAAUUCUGCAAAUAAAAUUAUUCAGUUUUCUAAAAAAGGAAAAUUUACUAGCCUUGGCUGAAAUUUAA